rnacentral:piRNA from 1 species
UAGUAUACCUGCAUUAUGCUCUACGAAC